rnacentral:lncRNA from 1 species
UAUUUGUAUCAAAAUUAUAUAUACUAUGUAUUCAGCCUUGAGAGGCUAGAUUGCGAUAAAUUGCCAUGUCAUGCAGAUAAGGAUUUUAUAGAUCAGUUGGUAGAUAAAAUAAUCCAUAGUCACUGCAGUGGUGGGGGGUUUUGUGGACCAGCCUAUUAGAGGGGCACGGUAAACUCCUUUAUAUUCUCACCUCGGUCGUAGAAGCACGUAGGGUAUCUCCUGAGGUGGGCUUUUUGAGUGCACUUCACGUUAACCACCACGUGAAGUGAGACUCAGUCAACGCCAAGGAACGGUUGCUUUUUUUUCAAAAUAAAAACAAGUUUUAUGAUUAUAUAAAAUUUUUCACAACCUUGGCGGACUCGGUUGGAUACCCCU